rnacentral:rRNA from 1 species
ACUCAAAGGAAUAGACGGGGGCCCGCACAAGCAGUGGAUUAUGUGGUUUAAUUCGAAGCUACGCGAAAAACCUUACCAGGGCUUGACAUGGAGAUGACUAUCAUAGAGAUAUGGUUUCCCCUUCGGGGGCAUCUCACACAGGUGGUGCAUGGUUGUCGUCAGCUCGUGUCGUGAGAUGUUGGGUUAAGUCCCGCAACGAGCGCAACCCCUAUUGUUAGUUGCUACGCAAGAGCACUCUAGCGAGACUGCCGUUGACAAAACGGAGGAAGGCGGGGACGACGUCAAAUCAUCAUGCCCCUUAUGUCCUGGGCUACACACGUAAUACAAUGGCGUUUAACAGAGGGAAGCGAUACCGCGAGGUGGAGCAAAUCCCUAAAAGGCGUCUCAGUUCGGAUCGCAGGCUGCAACUCGCCUGCGUGAAGUCGGAAUUGCUAGUAAUCGCGGAUCAGCAAGCCGCGGUGAAUACGUUCCCGGGCCUUGCACACACCGCCCGU